rnacentral:rRNA from 1 species
CCUACGGGAGGCAGCAGUAGGGAAUCUUGCACAAUGGGCGAAAGCCUGACGGAGCAACGCCGCGUGAGUGAAGAAGGUCUUCGGAUCGUAAAACCCUGUUGUUAGAGAAGAAAGUGCGCGAGAGUAACUGUCCACGAUUCGACGGUAUCUAACAAGAAAGCCACGGCUAACUCCGUGCCAGCAGCCGCGGUAAUACGUAGGUGGCAAGCGUUAUCCGGAUUUAUUGGGCGUAAAGGGCACGCAGGCGGUCUUUUAAGUCUAGUGUGAAAGCCUUCGGCUUAACCUGGGAAGUGCCUUGGAAACUGGGAGACUGGAGUGCGGGAGAGGAGAGUGGAAUUCCAGGUGUAGCGGUGAAAUGCGUAGAUAUAUGGAAGAACACCAGUGGCGAAGGCGGCUCUCUGGUAUAUAACUGACGCUGAGGAUCGAAAGCGUGGGUAGCAAACAGGAUUAGAUACCCUGGUAGUC